rnacentral:rRNA from 1 species
GUGGUGGCACAAAAUCGGAAGCCCCGACUGUUUACUAAAAACACAGCUAUCUGCAACGAUGUAAAUCAUAGUAUAGGUAGUGAGGUUUNCCCGAUGCCAUUAAUAUAAGAGAAGUGAUGGGUAACNNUUAAUUAUCGAAAAUCUGGUUAAUAGCGGUCUUAACUAUGAGGAUCCUAAGGUAGCAAAAUAAAUUGGCCAUUAAAUGU